rnacentral:pre_miRNA from 1 species
GACUGAUGUCAUUUUUAACGUGUCUCCUAUUUUUAGGGACC